rnacentral:lncRNA from 1 species
GUAUUUCUCUCUCUGCGCCAACCAGCACUGCUUGCUCACGCCUGUUUCUCCUUUUCCUUGCCGGUGGGGAGGUCAUGGGAUGCGCAAGCACUUUGUCUCUUGCUUUGUUUUCAGUCGCCAUAUUUAAUCUACGUCGAAACUUCAAAAUAACAUUAGGGGGAAAAAUGUAGCGUCAUGUUUAUCAGACGAGGACCUGAGCUUAACAAGCGAUUGAGAGAAAAUCCUUGGGAAGCUGUUAAAAUUUGUGUGUCAAUGCGUUUGUUAUUCUUUUAACCAGUACUCACUGAAUACCUGUAUGUCAGGCUCUCGAGGAAUACAGUACAGACAUGGGAGUGGAGACGGGGUUUCACCGUGGUCUCGAUCUCCUGACGUCGUGAUCCGCCCGCCUCGGCCUCCCAAAGUGCUGGGAUUACAGGCGUGAGCCACCAAGCCCGGCCUCCAGUCACGAUUUUAGGUGUGUACAAUUGACACACCUAAAGACAAACUGGUACAGGAAGAUUUGCCUCACCCGCUCUUCUGGAAGUAUGGUUUUGGAUCACCUAUCCAGAUGGACCAGAGCUCUUGUUAAAAGUGCAGGCUUGUGAGUCAUACUUCAUUUGCUGAAUCCAAAUCUCAGUGAUGGGGGCCCAGAAAAUAUAUCUCUAACAGGCUCCCCGUUAAUACACACUGAAAUUUAAGAACCACUAGCUAGGUUCUCUGUGAUAAGUUCCUCCUUCGUAUAUACCUCAACCAGCCAAAAAGGUGGCAACGCAAAGGCAUUCCCAGUGCUUCUAUUCUUGGGGAAUAUGCAUAGGCUUUGUGCCUCCUCUGCAAUCCUUUAGGUGCGACAUUCUCCUAUAUAGUAGUAGGAUGAGAAGAUUAAACUAGGUAAUGUGUAAGAGUUUUGAACAAAUGAAAAGUACUGGGUAAAUAUAGAGCUGUUAUUAUAGCUAAUAUAAUAUUAGUAUAACACACUCCUCUAUUUCCAUUCAUAUAUCCCAUGAAACCAACCAAAACCAGAGAGCACCACCGUCUUGCUCCCAUAGACUCCCUCGUCCCAGCUUCCACAUCACUAUUAAUAUUCGUCACUAUUUUUCUUCUCCAAAUAUUUCUCCUUCUGACUAAGAAAAAAAUGGAAGAUUUAUAACCUCUGCCUCCCGGGUUCAAGCGAUUUUCCUGCCUCCGCCUCCCUGGUAGCUGGGAUUACAGGCACGCGCCACCACACCCGGCUAAUUUUUGUAUUUUUAUUAGAGACAGGGUUUCACCAUGUUGGCCAGGCUGGUCUUGAGCUCCUGACCUCAGGUGAUCUGCCACCCUCAGCCUCCCAAAGUGCUGGGAUUACAGGCAUGAGCCACCGCACCCCGCCAAAUUUACUCUUUUUAAAAAACUACAUUUUCUGUUACGUCAGGAAAUGUGGGAUAAGAAAGAAGAGAGAUGUACCAUCUUAAUCCAAUCUCUGAUAAUAAUCUAAUUUUCUUGAGGGUGACUACAUCAUUUCCAUCCCUAAAUUCUGCACAGACUUGUUCCCCACCUAACACUCAAAAAAUAUCUGCUAACUGAUAAAACACUAAGUGGCCAUCACCAGGGUGAAAGGAACUGAUGGAGGUUACCAGUGGACACAGGCCAAGGAGAUGAGACCAUUAUUGUCUGAAGGCCACUGUGUUCUCCCCAUGAACUCAGCAAGCUCUCCUGGCCUUCAAGUCCCCAUGAGGGCAUCUUUGACCAAUACUGCCUGAUAAUGGAGAAAUCCUGUCAGGACCUUUGAAAAGUUUCUUAACCUAUCUCCUGGGGGAUGGGAGGGAGGUUAUACCAUCUUGUUCUCUUCUAACUGUUGUGGAGUCUCCUCUGCUUAGCACAAGAGGCUAUAAUGAUGGAUGAGCUGCCUACACUUGAGUGUUCAGUGUGAAGCUGAGUGACUUGAAUGUCUGCUUCCCAGGCCUGCAAAUCCUCCAGCACAGGAGUCCUGACUUGGGAUCUACAGAACCCCCUAGGUGUCCAUGAAUAGGAAUCAGCACUGUGAACCUGGAUGGGGGAAAAACCAAAAAUCACAUCUUUAUUCUCACUAACCUCUAACUGAAGUUUAGCAUUUCCUUUCAUUAUGAAUGCAGGUCACAGAUUACAGUGCUGCCUGUAGUACUCUUGACUUUGUCAAUCAUAAAAAGUAUAGAUAUUUUCAUACCACAUUUUAGUUGUAGUAGAUCUCUCAAAAUAUCACUUACUUUAAUCCUAUUUUUACAUUAUUUGACCCAAUGCUAGAUUGUGUUAUUUAAUGAAUUAAUAAAGCAGCAAACAUAGUAGUAUGUUACAAGGUAGCUUUUAUUCCUUUUCUCCUUUUAGAGAGAUGGUUUCAGUCUGUUCCCCAGGCUAGGGUGUGAUCACGGCUCACUGUAACCUCAAACUCCUGGGCUCAGGUGAUCCUCCCACCUCAGCCUCCCAAGUAGCUGGGACUACAGGCAUGCGCCACCAUGCCUAGCUAAUUUUUAAAUAUUUUGUAGACAUGAGGUCUUGCUAUGUCGCCCAGGCUUGUCUUAAUCAUAUUUGUCUUGUAAUUCUAUUUAUUUUAUAUACUUAAAAGUCUCUUUUUUUUUUUUUUUUUGGAGACAGAGUCGCUCUGUUGCCCAGGCUGAAGAGCAGUGGGCGAUCUCAGCUGAGUGCAAGCUCCACCUCCCGGGUUCACACCAUUCUCCUGCCUCAGCCUCCGGAGUAGCUGGGACUACAGGCGCCCGCCACCACGCCCAGCUAAUCUUUUUGUAUUUUUAGUAGAGACAGGGUUUCACCGUGUUAGCCAGGAUAGUCUCGAUCUCUUGACCUCGUGAUCCACCCGCCUCGGCCUCCCAAAGUGCUGGGAUUACAGGCAUGAGCCACUGCACCCGGCCUAAAAGCCUCUUCUAAGAAAGGUUCCACAGGCUUCACCAGCCUUCCAAAGAGGUCCGCUGCACACAAAAGUUUCAGAAUUUCUGGUGUAUUAGGCCUACUGGAUCUUUUUCUGAAACCAUGAACAAUCAAAAGAGUAAUAUAACCAAUGACAAUUCCUUGAAAAUUAACGUCUGAAAAAGCUUCUUGGGAGAAUUUGAUCUGUGAUUGAAAGGAUAAACAGAAUUACAGAGGAGAAGUGAUUACACUCAGGGAAAAUGGAAAUGUAAGCAAAGCUACUGUUUCAGAUCAACUGCCCUAGAAGCAGAGCCCAAGACAGGGAUUCUAUGCAAUUGACCUGUUGAAGGAGUGCUCUCAGGAGAAACACAUCAGAAGGUGAAUGAGCAGAAUAUGGAGGGGAAGGAGCUCAGCAAGAUGUGGCCUCAGCCAGAGUCCACCUCAGCCCCAUCUCCUGGGGAGCUCUGGAGCAUUAGUGACAACUCAAGGUUGUCAUGAUUUGAGACAAGGCUUAACAACCCUGCUUUGCCCCUGCAUGGCAUAGGCCAGGGCCAAUCCUUCAGAGAAGGGGGAAGCUUUGAGCCGUUAGUGGCAAAUACCUGAAGCAACUGGGGGAAUGGAUACACCAGCUUGCCAAGAGGACCUGGCCAAGGCAGACACUACCUUGCGGAGGUGACAGUGAACAUAGCGUGCUGACGAACAGUGAGGUGGGCAGAUAUAUUUGAGGAGAUGAGUUAUAGUGAGGAUUGGUGAGUAAGUAGGACUGGUGCAUGUUCAAGGUCCGAGAGAAACAGAGAGAGUUUUGUGAGCAAUACUAAGCACCCUGUUGAGGUUGGUGACCAUGAAGUUUAUUGUGGUGCAAUUGUGUGUGAUUUCACGGUGAGAGCAAACCAAAAGUGAGUUCAUCCAAAAGUGAUAUUUUGCUAGAGAGUGGUACAAGGGAGUUGAGAGUGUUGGCAAAAUGGGAUCAGGAGGCAAGUGAAGACAGAAGAGAUCUAAUCAACAGGCAGCUGAGGAAAGAAUCAAAGACCCCCCCAAAAUAUUCAAAGAGUAGUACUUGUGGGAGUUGUUGAGCAAGUAACAUGGGAAGAGAGGACGCUGCUUCCACCAGUGGUUUUGGAGGUGGAGUAGAUGCUGGUGAUAAUGAAGUCCCAGAUAGGAAAUGGGAGUGGAUGCCAAGGAGAUCUCAAGGACCCUGCAGAUGAGGACUCAAACCCACAAUAUUGAUGAGGCAUCCAUGUCACCAUGGGAGUCAACGAGGAUAGUGGCCUCAGCUGAGGCAGGGAAAAGCUGGGAUCCAAGUGACAUAGUCUUCUCUUGAUAAGCAAGAGAGACCAGGAGAUGAGAGAUGGCAGAGAAUGAGAGAGGUGAUAUCAGUUACCAGAAAGAGCCCCUAAAAGGCAACACUUCUUUUUUUCCAUUAGUUUUAAUAUAGAAUUUUGCUUUAGUACUUUUAAUUAGAUAACCCUCUUUUAAAAAUAUAUAUUUUUUAAAAUAUAUUUUUUUCUUACCAUACCAACUCACAGCCCCAAUCUUUUUGCCCUAACCUCAGAAUCAGUUAGUUGUCCGCUUUAAAACCCUUUUCUUACACACACACACACACACACACACAGAAUAUAUAGUAUUGUUUUUGGUGUAUGAGUGUGUGCGUCGGAAUAAAUGGUUUCAUACUCUAUAUACUUACUGUUUUAUAAUUUACCUUCUUCACUCAACACUGUAUCUCAGAUGUCUUAGAGAUCUAAGACACCAUAUCUUAGAGAAUGAGCAGCCUCAUUGUUUUAUUCCGUAAUAUGAAUUUACUAAAUUUAUUGGGCCUUUUUUUUUGAGACAGAGUCUUACUCUGUCACUCAGGCUGGAGUGCAAUGGCACAAAAUCGGCUCACUGCAAGCUCCGCCUCCUGGGUUCAAGUGAUUCUCUUGCCUCACGCCCAGAUAAUUUUUUGUAUUUUUAGUAGAGACAGGGUUUCACCAUGUUGGCCAGGCUGGUCUCAAACUCCUGACCUCAGGUGAGCCACCCGCCUCGGCCUCCCAAAGUGCUGGAAUUACAAGCAUGAGCCACCGAGCCCGGCCUGAGCCUUUCUUAAAUUGAUGAUAGUGUGGUUUCUAGUUUGGGCCAUUAUCAGCAACAUUGCUGUGUACAUAUCUUUAUAUCAGGGUGUCCAAUCUUUCAGCUUCCCUGGGCCCAUAUUGGAAGAAGAAUUGUCUUGGGCCACACAUAAAAUACACUAACACUAAUGGUAGUCGAUGAGCUAAAAAAAAAAAAAAAAAGGAAAAAAAAGCUCGUGUAUUUUACAAAAGUUUUACGGAUUCGUGUUGGGCUGCAUUCAAAGCCGUCCUGGGCCGUGGGUUGGACAAGUUUACUGUACAUCUUUCUUUGUACACACGAUGAAUGUCACAAAGAGCUCACAAAGCACCUGUACCAUGUGUAUGUUUCAGUUAUGAAUAUGUUCUGCAAUAAACAGAAAACUCAU